UACGUAGGGUGCAAGCGUUAAUCGGAAUUACUGGGCGUAAAGCGUGCGUAGACGGUUACAUAAGUCGGGUGUGAAAGCCCCGGGCUCAACCUGGGAAUUGCAUUCGAGACUGCGUAGCUAGGGUGCGGAAGAGGGAAGCGGAAUUUCCGGUGUAGCGGUGAAAUGCGUAGAUAUCGGAAGGAACACCAGUGGCGAAAGCGGCUUCCUGGUCCAGCACCGACGUCAGGCACGAAAGCGUGGGGAGCAAACAGG
rnacentral:rRNA from 1 species